rnacentral:lncRNA from 10 species
ACCCUCGCUGCCUCCCUCCCCGCCCCGCUCCGCCCUGCUGGUCCCGCCUGCCGUCCGCAAUUAGGCGGCAGAUGCUUGCCGCCCGGUGGUGGCCUGGGUUCUGCAGGGACUGAGGGGGCUCGUCGGCUUCUCUCCAGGGUGGAUCCCAGCUCUGCUUCCUUUUCCUUCCUUCUCAGACCGUCAGUUUCUCAGCCAGGGAGCUCCAGGCCAGCUGGAGAUCAGGAGAAGAGAGGUGGCCUGCUCAAGGUCACCCGAGCCUCCUCCUACCCGAGUUCCAACGGAGACCGCUGGCUUUGGCCUGGGCAGGGGAGCUGGUGAUUCCUAAGAUCUUCCUUUGGCUUCAGAGAAGUUGGCUUCCUGGCAAGGCUUCCAGGAGAUUCCCACAAGCCAACUGGAGUCCCCCGAGAAAAAGGAAAGAGGGGUUGGACUCCAAGGAUCCAUCCGGCGCCUCCUUUCCACCUCCCGGCUCUGUGUCUGUCACCGGACCAGGGCCUCUGAUUCCCCGUGUGCCCCCAUUGGGUCUUCCGGGGCUGUGCCAGAGGCCUCCUGUCUGGCCAGUACCCCAGGGCGCCACAUCCCCAGGCCGGCCUGCCGGCCUCUCCCCUCGGAGUUCCCACCUGCUUCUCUUAGCGAGAGCUUCCCGCGUCGAGGGCUGGCUCAGUGCCAGGCAGCUGACCUCCCGGUGAAGUGGUUCCGGCCUGUGGUUCUUGGAGAUCCAGCUGGUGCUGCUGUUUGAUUAUAAUGCAGUAGUUUGAAUUCAUGGAUGAAUGUCCUCUGCAUUGUCUCAUGCGAAAGGUUCCCAGUAAUCUUGUUUAGGAAGGACUGGUGAAUGAAUUUUGCUUGGAGGACCCCAGGCUUGGGAUGUGGUAGCUACUGCCACAGCCUCUACUCUUCUGGCUAUCCAGUUAAGGUUAGGCCUUCACAGGAGGGGGCUGUGUGUCUCUGGGACACCUGUUGACCUAAGUGCUGUCCCUCCUAUGGCUGGCUGAGAAAAGACCCAGCUUUCUGGGGGUCUCUCUGUCAGCACAAGGCCUGGCUCUUCAUCCCCGCUGCCACACCCUCUUCCCUGGUGCUGAGACCUGUUGGGAGUUUGGGAAAUCGUAGCCUUGGCUGUUUACCCAGGAACCUUCUCUUUUUCUCAGUGGGUUGCAGGAGAACAGAAAGGGAGGUCAAAGCGUGCUUGCUUGUGUCUGCAGGGGAAGACUCGUUCAUGUAGAGGAGUAAAGCCUACCCCAGUGCCAACUCUGAGACUUGGGAAAAAUCACCGUUUUAUCAGAGUUUAUACCAAGGCACUAUGAAAUUCACAGAUGGCUUUGCUCUCCUGUCUUAGUGUGGUUCUCUCCAAAGGAGACCCUGGGACAAGGACUUGGUUGCAGGUAGCUUAUUUGGAGAGGGAUACCAAGAAGCUGGGGACCCACUCAGGAAUCAUGGAGAACAUGCUUUGAGACUGUCCCCCUCCAAAGGAUGGGGGAGCUGAAGCCUUUAUCCUCAGACUUGCCCUGCCUUGGCGGAGGGUUAUUAAAUUCACAGUAUUGAAUUCCCAGCACUUUAGGGUGCUCAGUGCAUAGGUUGCACAGGCUGUGCAAGCUCUUAAGGCACUGGGGAAUGAUCAGAAGCAAAACAUCAGAGAACCCCAGGUGCUUGAGGUAGAAGGCUGCCAGCACAGACAGGUACAGGUGGGAAGAUUGCUUGAACCCAGGAGGUUGAGGCUACAGGUACAGGUGGACAGAGAGGUUAUGAAAAGUGUUUGCUAUAACCCCCAACCCUAAAAGCCCCAGAGCAAAUUUCAGAAAGAAAUUCAAGUCCUCUAGGGCUGCUGGUAGGGGUGCAAAUGAGUUGGGAGAGUGAGUUCCUCAUGCCUUCCUUAUCCACAUAGUUCCAAGGUUUCCAUCGUCCAACUACAGUGUUUCAACAAAGAGACAUGCUGGGCGUGGUGGCUCACGCCUGCAAUUCCAGCACUUUGCGAGGCUGAGGCGGGCAGAUCACCUGAGGUCAGGAGUUCAAGACCAGCCUGGCCAACAUGGCAUAACCCCGUCCCUACUAAAAAUACAAAAAUUAGCCAGGCGUGGUGGUGGUCUCUUGUAAUCCCAGUUAUUUGGGAGGCUGGAGUGGGUGAAUCGCUGGAACCCGGGAGGUGGAGGUUGCAGUGAGCCAAGAUCACACCAUUGCGCUCCAGCCUGGGCAACAUAGCAAGACUCCAUCUCAAAAUAAAUAAAUAAAUAAAUAAAUAAAUAAAUAAAUAAAUAAAUAAAUAAAAAUAAAGUAAAUAAACAAAGAGACAGUAAAUGCCUGGAGAAUGAAUUAAGACCCAUAGUUCUGGGUUUUUAAUGGGAUUGUCGAAGAGCUAGACCCAUGAUGAAUUUAGGAAAAUUUGGGAUAGAUAUGACAAAAGAGUUUAUAGCCAUAAUAUAUAAAGCCGUGCCAUAUUCAAUAAGAAAGCAAUCACAAGCUGACAGAGAAAACAGUCAAAUUAUACCAACAGGCAGUUCACCAAAAAAUACAUGCAUAUUGCCAAUAAAUAACUAAAACUAUUUCUAUCUCAUUUGUAAUAAAACAUAAUUUCAGACAAGGUAUUAUUCUUUCCCCAUCAGAUUGGCAAAAAGUUUACAAGAUUGAUACCAGCCAGGGUUGGUGAGGGUGUGGGGAGAGAGACAUUCUCAGGCUGUCCACUCUUUUCAGAGACGAGUUUGGCAAUAUGCAUUAAACAUGAAGGGUGGGCAUGAACCUUGACCAGUUCCACUGCUAGGCAUGUACCCCACAGAAAUAUCAGUAUCACCAUAUAUGCACAAAGAUGUUACAUACAAAGAAGUUCCUUUCAGUUAUACUAACAAAAUUCGAGCCAGUCUAAGUGUCUAUGAGGGAUGUAGUUAAAGUACAGCACAUCCAGGCCAGGCAUGGUGGCUCACACCUGUAAUCCCAGCACUUUGAGAAGCCAAGGCAAGAGGAUCACUUUAAGCCCAGGAGUUUGAGAUCAGCCUGGACAAUGUAGUGAGACCUUCUCUAUCAAAAAAAAAAAAAAAAUCAGCCAGGUGUGGUGGUGCACACUUGUAGGCUCAGCUACUUGGAAGGCUGAGGUGGGAGGAUUGCUUGAACCCAGGAGGUUGAGGCUGCAGUGAACUGUGAUCAUGCUACUGCACACCAGCCUGGAUGACAGAGUAAGACCCUAUCUCAAAAAUAAAUAAAUAAAUAGCAUGUACAUACCCUGGAAUACUAUACAGCUAUUAAAAAGAAUGAGAGAGACUUGUCAGAGGUCCUUUAAGUAAUAGAGGAAGGUCUCCGAAC